GGCAGCCGGCACUGCUGUGUGACGGCUGGCCGAGAGAAUGGAUCGCACGUCUCCUCGCUUAUUCGACCUACGCCCUUCAGCCGGCAGAAGACCUCCCUCUGCUGAUAUCCUACUCCACAGGUCACCGAACACUAUCAGCAAAAAGAACAAAAAAAAGCAAGAGAGAGAAAACAACAGGUGAAGGUGAAGACUGUACGGGAAUAACAAUGUUAACAUGACCAGCCUCGGCUUUGCAGCACAUAACCAUGCCUCCUGGAUUACGUCACCCAACCAUCCAGUAUUUGUGGCUGAACAGUGGGAUAUCACAUCCAUAUGGGCAAAUUGUCACUCCUUUUUUAAUGAAAACCUCAUCUGCCAGGCAGGAGUUUAACAAAGUUGCUAAUCAUUCCAGGCAGGAUGAAACGACAACUAUGGCACUCCUCUCUCUCUUCCUGAUGAACUUUUAAUAUCAGCAGCAACUUACAACAGUUCUCAGUUCAGCAAUGAGUUCACUCUGUGAACUGAUACUUGCAACAAAGUGGGAAGACUCCAAGUUUUUUUCAGGCACUCUUUAUCCUGCUGUUAAGCAACUCGGAAAACUCAAUGUAUACAAUAUAACACGGAGACUGCUGAUCCCAAAGACAAACCAUCUUCCUACUUCCUUCACUCCUGGUUUCACACUUUUUAAGUACCUUUGAGAACCACUGCUUUUCAGCAAGACUGAGACACAUCCAGCGUCUUAAAGAUGUUUUUCAAAUAAACAAACAAACGAUCUUCAAAAGGCAAAGGAAUGAUUGCUUGUCUUUGUCUCUGGAAUGAAGAUGCCUGGACUUGCGACAAGCUAACAGACCUGGCAAAAUUGAUGCUGAAGAGAACACAGAUGAGAAACAAUCAGCAGAACACCAAGUUAAAUAUUUCAAAUGCACAGAGAGAUGAAAAAGCAUGUAAUCAGAUGAUUGUAGAAGUACAGAGGGGUGAAGGAUCCAUUCCGUUGCUGUACUAUUCUAUGUACUGUGUUCCAAAAUUAACAUCGGAUUUUGUUUUUAAAAAAAAUGAAUAUGUGGUAAAUUUUCAAAUUACAAAUUGAAAGUGCAUCCUUUCAGAGAAAGUAUUGUGAAAUUGGAAACCAGCCACCUGCGAGAUAUUAAAAAAACUACAGGUGCAACAUUUCUUGACAUGUACUCUGUCCCAUGUCAAAACUACGAAUGAAGAAACUGCCCUUAUAGGGGUGGGGACUACCCUACACUCUGAGUUCCUCAGAUGCAAGGCCACAUUUUUAACAGAAAAGGAAGUCAAGGAUCUUCACAGGGUAUCGACCAUCAGCCAGCAUCCCCACAAGGGAAGGCAGGCUAAACACUAGUCACCACAGUAAUGGAGUCACAUUUCGUGCAGAAGGAUGGCCAGCACAAAUACCCAGAGGCAUAGCAAGAAUUAAGAGCAGACGAUGGAGCACUUACGGGUGACCAUUCCCCAGCAUGCCAUUGUCCACAGGGACUGAAGCACGUCAUUGUCUCAGGAGGGCGAGGCAAGUGGGCACAGAAAGAUUCAUCAGCAAUGCCGCCUUGAGCAUCUCUGCAGCUGACGUAGCGAGCACGUGCUCCUUUCCCACAGGAGUCCAGGAUCCAUAUCUCCAUUGGGUCAUCAUCCCUCUUUGAACAGCUGGGCUUGUGGUCGUGACUAUCUUCGAUGGCUCCAAACAAGGAGGCAUCUCACACUCCUGCGUAGAAUUUUGUCAAAACACAAAAACAAUCUGUACUGCGUGAUGAACUUUGGGUGAUUGAAUUUAAGUCAUGGGAGAGAACAUUCUAUCG